rnacentral:rRNA from 1 species
GACGUAGGAUGCAAGCGUUGUCCGGAAUUAUUGGGCGUAAAGAGUUCGUAGGCGGCAUAUCAAGUCUGGUGUUAAAUACCGGGGCUCAACUCCGGCAGGGCAUUGGAUACUGAUAAGCUAGAGUACAGAAGAGGCAAGGGGAAUUCCCAGUGUAGCGGUGAAAUGCGUAGAUAUUGGGAGGAACACCAGUGGCGUAAGCGCCUUGCUGGGCUGUUACUGACGCUGAGGAACGAAAGCCAGGGGAG